rnacentral:rRNA from 1 species
ACGGUUGACCUCGGAUCAGGUAGGAAUACCCGCUGAACUUAAGCAUAUCAAUAAGCG